rnacentral:rRNA from 1 species
GAUGAACGCUGGCGGCGUGCCUAAUACAUGCAAGUCGAGCGAAGCGGGGACGGGUGAGUAACACGUGGAUAACUUCUUAUAAGACUGGGAUAACUUCGGGAAACCGGAGCAAAACCCGAUACUGAUAGAUGGGUCCUCGCUGCAUUAGCUAGUUGGUAAGGUAACGGCUUACCAAGGCAACCAUGCAUAGCCGACCUGAGAGGGUGAUCGGCCACACUGGAACUGAGACACGGUCCAGACUCCUACGGGAGGCAGCAGUGGGGAAUCUUGCGCAAUGGGCGAAAGCCUGACGGAGCAACGCCGCGUGAGUGAUGAAGGUCUUCGGAUCGUAAAACUCUGUUAUUAGGGAAGCGGUACCUAAUCAGAAAGCCACGGCUAACUACGUGCCAGCAGCCGCGGUAAUAC